UACGUAGGGGACGAGCGUUGUCCGGAUUCAUUGGGCGUAAAGCGCGCGUAGGCGGCUCGGUAAGUCGGGCGUGAAAUGCCGGGGCUCAACCCCGGGACUGCGUCCGAUACUUCCGCGCUGGAGGUAGGUAGGGGAGAUCGGAAUUCCUGGUGUAGCGGUGAAAUGCGCAGAUAUCAGGAGGAACACCGGUGGCGAAGGCGGAUCUCUGGGCCUUACCUGACGCUGAGGCGCGAAAGCUAGGGGAGCGAACAGG
rnacentral:rRNA from 1 species